AUUGAACGCUGGCGGAAUGCUUUACACAUGCAAGUCGAACGGUAGAGGGGGCAACCCCUCGAGAGUGGCGAACGGGUGAGUAAUAUAUCGGAACGUGCCCAGUCGUGGGGGAUAACGUAGCGAAAGUUACGCUAAUACCGCAUACGAUCUAAGGAUGAAAGCGGGGGAUCGCAAGACCUCGCGCGAUUGGAGCGGCCGAUAUCAGAUUAGGUAGUUGGUGGGGUAAAGGCUCACCAAGCCAACGAUCUGUAGCUGGUCUGAGCGGACGACCAGCCACACUGGAACUGCGACACGGUCCAGACUCCUACGGGAGGCAGCAGUGGGGAAUUUUGGUCAAUGGACGCAAGUCUGAUCCAGCCAUUCCGCGUGCAGGAUGAAGGCCCUCGGGUUGUAAACUGCUUUUGUACGGAACGAAAAGGUCUCUCUUAAUACGGGGGACUCAUGACGGUACCGUAAGAAUAAGCACCGGCUAACUACGUGCCAGCAGCCGCCGUAA
rnacentral:rRNA from 1 species